UAGGGAAUCUUCGGCAAUGGGGGGAACCCUGACCGAGCAACGCCGCGUGAGUGAAGAAGGUUUUCGGAUCGUAAAGCUCUGUUGUUAAGGAAGAACGAGUGUGAGAAUGGAAAGUUCAUACUGUGACGGUACUUAACCAGAAAGGGACGGCUAACUACGUGCCAGCAGCCGCGGUAAUACGUAGGUGGCAAGCGUUGUCCGGAUUUAUUGGGUGUAAAGCGAGCGCAGGCGGUCAAUUAAGUCUGAUGUGAAAGCCCCCGGCUCAACCGGGGAGGGUCAUUGGAAACUGGUUGACUUGAGUGCAGAAGAGGAGAGUGGAAUUCCAUGUGUAGCGGUGAAAUGCGUAGAUAUAUGGAGGAACACCAGUGGCGAAGGCGACUCUCUGGUCUGUAACUGACGCUGAGGCUCGAAAGCGUGGGUAGCAAACAGG
rnacentral:rRNA from 1 species